AUGCAGCGUAAAAGAUGCAUUUAGAUCAAUGGAUUAUUUCUAGCUUGGUGAACCUGUGAUUAGCUCUGUUUUGAGCUUGUAGAUUAUCUUUGCAUUAAGUCGAUGAAAUUCAAUCAGUCCUUAAAAGAUUUGAAUUUUAUUUUGUAUUGUGAUUUGAAUAAAAGAUAUGAUGUAAUUGAGAAAACCCAAAAGCCACAACUCAGUUUUUCUUUUUUCUUUUUGCAGUGGCUAUAAGUACAUGCCUUAUCAACUUUUGGCUUGCCACGUCACGAUGGAGCAGAAGAAGAUGGACGGCCAGUGUUGUCUUAGGUCUGCCAAGCACGACGGCACCGGUGAUGAUGGACGCGACCAUGACUUUGUAUUAUUUGUGGAACCUAAUGUUGUGUAACAGUUUAAUUGAGUUAAACUUUAAAUAGACUUUUGUUAACUAUUUUGUUGGUAUUGUGGCUUUCAUGAUUGAUUGUUUCA